GCCCGGAUGGCGAAAUUGGUAGACGCAAGGGACUUAAAAUCCCUCGGUAGCAAUACCAUGCCGGUUCGACCCCGGCUCCGGGCACCA
rnacentral:tRNA from 2 species